ensembl:lncRNA
GCAAAUCAGAUCCACCCAAAGACUUCUUAUUUUCAUUUUUAACUUUUGCCCAUAUUUUAGUAAGGACAGAAAAAUCCUUCACUAUAGAAGUCCACACCGACGAAAUGAAAGAAGCAUUGAAGCAUUUUUUAAGGAUACAGUGAAUUUAAAUAUAUAUAUACACACAUAUAUAUGUUGGCUUUUUUAUAUUAAUUUUUCAUUCUCUUUUACACCAGAGAGCUUCAAAUCAUCACAAACCAAAUCCAUCUGGCUCAGAAAAAAAGAAAUUAGGCAUUAAUGAAUAUCAAACCCACAGGAAAUUAUUCUUUCCAGCUUUAAAGACAAUCACAUACUUGUGUCUUGGAAUGAGCAGCACUUCCAUUCUGAACAGUUUGUAGGGAUUCAGUUUCAAGAUGGCUCCAGACAUUCAAAGCAAACAAUGUAAGUGGGCACAAAGGCUGAGGAGACGAGGGAUUGCAGUUCUCUUGGUAUGGCAGGGAAGGAUCACACUGGGCUUUCCCCUGGAGAGAUGUCCCACUGCAAGGCAGCGCGUCACAGCGAGCACACAGGACUGGCACACUGACAUUUGUACAGCACACUUACUGUGGCCUGGGAAGCACCUCCUGCAGGAAGCAGAAACAGGCUGAUAAAACCCCGUCAGAAUGCAAACAAGUUCCUAAGCAAUCACCAUGAAUUUCUAGCUCUCUUUCAGCUGAGCUGAAGUACACAACAAGACACACGGAGCAAACAGCUAUUCCUACACUGUACGUUGCUAAGUUAAACAUGUGCUUUGAAUGUGCCAGUGAGAAAUCUAAGAUUUGUUUGGGUUUCCCCAGAGAACACAUUCAACAUUUAAACAGGCCGAGAAGACCAGGCAAGACACACAGCCUGAGGAGGGCAAACAAUCAAAGAGAGGACCACCAACCUGCAGACACCUGUCAGGAAAGGCGAUGGCAGAGAACCAGUUCUGAAUCACCCAAAAAAGGCUGCUGGUCACCAUCCAGCUCAAGAAAGAUUUGCUUGCCCCGUUCCAAGGCUUGGGGCUCACCAAAUACUCCAAAAGGAGAGAUCUCCAAGUAAAGACCUUCCCUGGUGGCAGCCAGCCCUUCAGUUGACGGUAGGGAGGGCUGGAACCAGGUGUUUGGAAUUGCUGCCACCUGUGCUCCCAGGGCUGGCUGUGUCCCUUCCUCAGGCGCUCAGUCAUUGGUUCAGGCUGUGACUCAGCAAUUCCCAUACAACAUCUAAAGAGACCUUUUGUUUAUCUGAACAUGCUGACAGCGGUAAAGGUAAAUGUAAGAGACAAGAGCUUCAGUUCCAGUCUGCAGGACGGGUUGUGUAGCUGUGUAUAGCUUCAAAACUGCCUACAGACUGACUCUGCUCUCUUACUAACACGAGUCAUACCUACGUACCAGGACUACUUUGCAAUUGCAUUGUCAACACCUUGCAGGUGCUGAAGGAAGUGCAGCUCAGAGGGCACAGAGGGCCGAGAGCCCCCAUGCCGCACUCAGGGAUGGGCGGCCUCCGGGCAGAUGUAGGAUCUGACAGUCAGCGCCUGCGCUGCCCCACAGCUGCACACACCAACUGCUCUGCUGUCCCCUUCCCCGAAACAGAGGACUCGGAGCCUUCUUUUUUGUGUGUAAAUUUAAAAAGUAGAAAAAUGUGCCUGCAGUGUGGGGUUGCUUUUUUAAUGCAGGUCGUAAUGCAGGCCCAGAGAACUGCAAGGGCUGUGAGGGGAGAAGCAAAUCGAUGCGUGAAAACAAAGCAGAGAGAAUGGAAAUGGAAGAGCCUGACAGGCAAACCGUCCUGGAUAAGGACUUAUUUGAACAGGUGAAUGCUGAACACCUGCAUCUCUGCUGGGGCAGGGAUGGUGGGAACAACAAGGAGGUUCUCUGAGAUCCUCUGGGAAACGUCUGUGAAGAAAAGGGAGAUCAGAAACCCUGACCUGCAGAAGUUUUCUGGCGCUCAUUCACUAAACACGGGUUGCAGAACCACUACCAAGAACAUCUCAAAAGCAAAAAGUUUCUGAGUUAUCCAGAAGAGCUCCGUAAGGCUGCCAUUACCACUGCUCUCACCAGCCAGCUCUGCCGCGAUCGCAUCGAGCACGAAGGCCGUGACCCCGCUGCAGCAGCUCGGGGCUCCAGGGCGGAGCGGCCCCCGUUCGCAGCCGUACGAAGCGUUCAUCCCCGCAGGUUCGGGGACCUCAGCGCGAUGAACUCCGAGCAUCACCGCCGGGGCCCCGGGCAGCUCCGCCGGGCGGCACCGCUCGGAGAGCGG